rnacentral:lncRNA from 1 species
CCCUCAUGAAAUGAAGUUUUUACUUAUUUACUUACUUUCUUACUUACUUAUAUACUUACUUAUAUUAAAUGUUCAUGAUAUAGAGUCCGGUUUAAGGUUCAUUAAUAGGUUUCCCUCAUGAAAUGAAGUUCUUACUUACUUACUUACUUUCUUACUUACUUACUUAUAUACUUAUACUUACUUAUAUUAAAUGUUCAUGAUAUAGAGUCCGGUUUAAGGUUCAUUAAUAUGUUUCCCUCAUGAAAUGAAGUUCUUACUUACUUACUUUCUUACUUACUUACUUAUAUAUUUAUACUUACUUACUAUCAAAUGUUCAUGAUAUAGAGUCCGGUUUAAGGUUCAUUAAUAGGUUUCCCUCAUGAAAUGAAGUUCUUACUUACUUACUUUCUUACUUACUUACUUAUAUACUUAUACUUACUUAUAUUAAAUGUUCAUGAUAUAGAGUCCGGUUUAAGGUUCAUUAAUAGGUUUCCCUCAUGAAAUGAAGUUCUUACUUACUUACUUUCUUACUUACUUACUUAUAUACUUAUACUUACUUAUAUUAAAUGUUCAUGAUAUAGAGUCCGGUUUAAGGUUCAUUAAUAGGUUUCCCUCAUGAAAUGAAGUUCUUACUUACUUACUUUCUUACUUACUUACUUAUAUACUUAUACUUACUUAUAUUAAAUGUUCAUGAUAUAGAGUCCGGUUUAAGGUUCAUUAAUAGGUUUCCCUCAUGAAAUGAAGUUCUUACUUACUUACUUUCUUACUUACUUACUUAUAUACUUAUACUUACUUAUAUUAAAUGUUCAUGAUAUAGAGUCCGGUUUAAGGUUCAUUAAUAGGUUUCCCUCAUGAAAUGAAGUUCUUACUUACUUACUUUCUUACUUACUUACUUAUAUACUUAUACUUACUUAUAUUAAAUGUUCAUGAUAUAGAGUCCGGUUUAAGGUUCAUUAAUAGGUUUCCCUCAUGAAAUGAAGUUCUUACUUACUUACUUUCUUACUUACUUACUUAUAUACUUAUACUUACUUAUAUUAAAUGUUCAUGAUAUAGAGUCCGGUUUAAGGUUCAUUAAUAGGUUUCCCUCAUGAAAUGAAGUUCUUACUUACUUACUUUCUUACUUACUUACUUAUAUACUUAUACUUACUUAUAUUAAAUGUUCAUGAUAUAGAGUCCGGUUUAAGGUUCAUUAAUAGGUUUCCCUCAUGAAAUGAAGUUCUUACUUACUUACUUUCUUUCUUACUUACUUACUUAUAUACUUAUACUUACUUAUAUUAAAUGUUCAUGAUAUACAGUCCGGUUUAAGGUUCUUCAUAUACAGUACAGUUCGUUACAAUUACAGUGCGGUCAUUGAUUAUAGAUGGUGAUGCAUUUAUAUAAAGUGGAUGCAUGCGAGCUUGUGUUACACAAACAAGGUUUGGUAUAAGCCUUGAGUUAAAUAGAUUACACACGAUUUUGUAGUGUUUUACCCAUUGACCUUGUCAGUGUUUGGUGGCAAAGACAAAGAUAAUGUAUCAGAUACUGUUCAAUAGGCAAUUCCAGCUAUGGAGUAAAUUAUCUAGGCAAGAAGAACAAAAUCCAUCACCACAGCUAGAAAGAGCAUGUCAAAAUUAGUAAAAUUUCAACGUUUGG